rnacentral:rRNA from 1 species
GAUGAACGCUGGCGGCGUGCCUAAUACAUGCAAGUCGAGCGAACAGACGAGGAGCUUGCUCCUCUGACGUUAGCGGCGGACGGGUGAGUAACACGUGGAUAACCUACCUAUAAGACUGGGAUAACUUCGGGAAACCGGCGCUAAUCCCGGAUAAUAUAUUGAACCGCAUGGUUCAAUAGUGAAAGACGGUUUUGCUGUCACUUCUAGAUGGAUCCGCGCCGGAUUAGCUAGUUGGUAAGGUAACGGCUUACCAAGGCAACGAUGCGUAGCCGACCUGAGGGGGUGAUCGGCCACAUGGGAACGGAGACACGGUCCAGACUCCUACGGGAGGCAGCAGUAGGGAAUCUUCCGCAAUGGGCGAAAGCCUGACGGAGCAACGCCGCGUGAGUUAUGAAGGUCUUCGGAUCGUAAAACUCGGUUAUUAGGGAAGAACAAAUGUGUAAGUAACUAUGCACGUCUUGACGGUACCUAAUCAGAAAGCCACGGCUAACUACGUG